rnacentral:tRNA from 1 species
GGGCGCUUAGCUCAGCGGUAGAGCCCCUGUUUUACACACAGGAUGUCGGCGGUUCGAAUCCGUCAGCGCCCA